UUUUUGUCCUUUCUAGGGCCACAUUCAUGGCAUAUGGAGGUUCCCAGGCUGGGGUCUAAUCUGCAGCUGGCCUACACCAGAGCCACAGCAACACCAGAUCCAAGCCACAUCUGCGACCUACACCACAGCUCACGGCAAUACUGGAUCCUUAACCCACUGAGCGAGGCCGGGGAUUGAACCCACAGCUUCAUGGUUCCUAGUCGGAUUUGUUUCCACUGCACCAUGAUGGGAACUCCCAUCCUAUUGAUAAUUUCUACCACUCCAAAAAUAAAGUCUAUCUUCAGAGUGCCUAUGCAAAGAAAGGCUGGUAUGUCUAGCAGUUUUAUUUAAGGAAAUAAGGGUGUUUUGUUUUGCUUGGCUUUGUCUUAACAUUGCAUCAUAAUAGAGAAUAUACCUCUCAAACUGCAUACAACCCAUCUGCCCCCUCCUCAAAAAAAAAAAAAAAAAAAUCCUGAUUUUUUCCCUCUAGUAGGUUCUGACACUCUGCUUGAGAAUCACAGUCCCAAAGUUUCAUUAACUCUGAAGAAAGGAAACUAUCUAAUGUUGUCAGAAUGGGUAUAUUUUCUCUCACAAUGAUGGAAUAAGAAUGUGCUUAAGAAGGGAGGACCUGGAGUUCCCAUCAUGGCUCAGUGAUAUCAAACCCAACUAGUCUCCAUGAGGAUGUGGGUUCCAUCCCUGGCCUCAUUAAACGGGUCAAGUAUCUAGCAUUGCCUGAAGCUGCGGUGUAAGUCGCAGAUGCCACUCAGGUCUGGCAUUGCUGUGGCUGUGGUGGAGGCUGGCAGCUACAAUUCCAAUCUGACUCCUAGCCUGGAAACUUCCAUAUGCUUCAGGUGUGGCCCUAAAAAGACCAAAAAAAAAAGAGAGAGAGAGAGAGAGAGAGAGAGAGAGAGAGAGGAGCUACUGUUGGCCAAGGAGAAGAAUAAAGGCCAGCAAGAAUGACCUCAGAACUUGUCUCUAUUUACCAAGGAAACAAUCUAUGUCCAGCUUGGCACAUGUGGGGGCUCCCGAGUGGAUGCCACAGACCCCGCUUACCCUCACUCCCUCUACGUGCUGUGAAAGCUGAGCCACUCUUCAUUCACAAGAGAGAAAAUACUUAUAAGAGGGAAAGAUGAAAGAGAGUGAAAUGGCUACAGGGAGGGAAAAAAAAAAAAACUCAGAGGGAUAAGGAAGGCAUCAGAGGAAAACAGGAAGAAAAGAAGAGGAGAGCAACCAAGGACGGCAUCCAAGAAGUUUAGACCACAGAGAACAGAAGCAAUCAUCACAGUGAUAAUUUCACAUUGGUAACAAUAACCAUCAUUUAUUGGGCUUUUGCUGUGUGAGACAGAUGGAUGGAUGGUAACUAGGUAGACAAAUGGACACAAUUUAGUUUAACUUCAUUUCACUAACAUAAUCCUAAAAGACACCUAUUUCAACCCCUCUUUUCUUCUGAGGAAUAUGAGACUCUCAUAGCUAAUGACUUCUCCAAGGUGUAGCAGAACCAGAACUUUACCAAGUUUGUCAGGCUUCAGAUCCCAUGCUGUUAAUUACUAGACCCCUUAUUUGUAAUAAAUGCCAAAAAAUAUGUACACUUAGUUGCCUAUUUCCUUGUUCAAAUUAGACAUCUUGAGACAUGAUGCAGUUUCAGUGAUGUAUCUAUUGAUGAAAAUCGCUUGGGGACCCACUUUUGAAUAUUCCACUAGAGCCUCAGGUACACUCUUUGGAUUAUAUUUGUUGAUGGCAUACCCUCAUGCUUUGAGAGGAGGGGCUUAUUUAGGAGAUAGCCAGAAAUCUCUCAGAGUGAAACUGGUUAAAAACUGUAGGAGACACUGCAAGCAUUUGAGAUUUAAGGAAAAAAAGAGUGUGAACACUUUGUGUGUAUUAUCUACUGUCUCAGAGAAAUCCCAAAGGAGAGUUGCUAGCAGAUUCUGAUCAAUGGCCCCACCAUGGCAAUAAACACAAAGACUUAAGACAGCCCCUUCAAAGCUCAUCAUUAAACUGGUAUAUUUGUUAAAACACCAUUGCUGUAACAGUGAAAUCAUACCUUAGUCAUUCUUCAGAGAAAAGCAAUCUGUUCUCGCUUUAACUACUGGUAAAUGAAAUGUUUCAAUAAAAAAGAACAGAUAAGCACUUAAUUGUUUUUCAUACUGAUGCUGUUAAAGCAUCCUGCACUAUACUUUUUGGAAAACUUUUUUGAAAAGUUCAAAGAGAAAUGAUAAUGCUCUUGGGAUAUGAUUGCCUUUAAACUUGAAACUUCUAAUCACAGGAACAAGAGCAUGGAUGACCAGACAUUUGGGAUGGGAUGGCCUGCCCAUCUCUGCCCUGAGACUGACUGAUCUUUGAACAUCUAACAGGGCUGCCUCUAAUACAUUUGAAAAAUGGCAUCACAUUUGGGCUGGAGAGCUUUCUCUCCUGUUCAUGGUCCAUGUAGCAGGUGCUCUCCUCUGAAUGGUUACUGUUUUUCUCAAGAGCUGCCAAUUUUCAUUACAGCGAUGGACUGGAGGAGUGUUGAAAUGUCACAUGAAAAGAAAAUUACUGGGCAGCCCCCUUUUUUUUCAUUAGGAUUUCAGCAAAGCGAGGAAGGCAAGGGCAGACAAGAUAAUGGAGGGGUUGCUCAGGCAUUUAUUUCACUUUCAUUUUUUCUUUGAGAAAGUGUUAAUAAAAUUAGCAGUGUUCCAAUAACAGCAAGGAUUACAAAAGAUACAUUUAUCAACAAUGUGCAAUUUUCCUACUGGAAUGUAUAAUAAAACUUUUUAAAUGCAAAUUUCCCAUCAAUGAAUAUAUAAAGGGGCCAGAUAAAGAAGGGAAAAAAUGACAUUAAGCUAAUUCUCAGUCAUCUCUGAAAACUAGAAGGAUUAAAACUUUUAAAGUUAACUGACAAAUCUCUCCAAACUUAAUUUUAAACCUUCAUUCAAUUUUUGCUCUGUCAACGCUUCAGCAAAAGCUCCUUACAAGGAAUCAUGCUAACUCUUUUGAAUUUUAGGGAUGAGGUCAAAAUCAACAAUGCUUUCCCAUCACCUAUCACACAAAGCUAAAAAUCCUCUUACAUGUGCCUCUAAUUCAAGCCCUAUCCAGCAAAGCCCUUUGUAAUCCAGCCCACUCUGCCCCCAAAUAUCCUGUUUGCCCAUCACAAAUCCCAGGCUGAAAACUGGGCCCUUGAAGUUUACGAUGCUCCACUCCUCUUUGUCUUAUUUCUGCUCAAAUCCUCCCUAUCUUCUGAAGCCUUUACAACUCAGAUGCUACUUCACACUUCCCUUCCGGGUCUCACCAACCUCUUACCCCUCUCAUGUCGUCUGAACCACCAACUCACACCUGAUAAUAAGCCACUUGAAUGGAUCACAAUUUUUCAUCGAUACCAUCUUCCCAGGGCAACAGUGAGUUCCCAUGAAGCAGAGACAAUACUGGCCAUACACACGUGAUAAGCAUCUGUUGACUGCAUGAUAGACUCUGUGACUGCAUGACAGACUCUAUCUGUGGAGAUGUAAAAGGUCAAAAGGCAGAGAAAGACAAGAAAAAAAGGAAAAGGAGAGGCAAGGGACCUCAAUACUUCAAAAACCAGACAAUCAACUGAACAAAGGUUAUUUAGAAUAACCCUACCUUUACUGUAUGCAUGAAGGGAAAAUAUAUAGAUGACCAAUGCAACUUACAUUAAAACUGUUCUGAGAACUAUGCUGAUUGAUUAAUGUUGGUUCAGCAAACCUAAUGUAAAGGGUAUUUCCAAGAAGAGCAGAUAAGGAAACAUAAAAUAUGGCCAGAAAUCAAGCAUUAAAAUCAUAAAUAUGCUAAAGAAAAAUUUCUCCCCCAAAUCGUUCUCAACUCAAAGGGGUAAAUUAAAUUCAUGAUUGAGGUAUUCAGACAUGCUAAUGGUCUUAAAUGUCCCUGCUGGUAAUAAAUGAAAACACUGAAGUCUUCCAGGAAUAUGAUGAGUACCAUUUUCGUACAACAAUUUGAAGCCUCCAUCUGUCAUUCGAAAGGCUAGAGAUGCAUUGGCUCCUUUGUGAAAAAACCAAGGAGAUGCUGCCCAUGGUAAGAACAAGGCUAAUGUUUCUAGCAAAGAAAAGCAAUAACAAUUACUUGAAAAUGCCAAGUAUCAUAAUAUAAUGCAGAACUAAUGCUAAUCUGGAGAUGCCUAGAUCCAUGGCAUUUUAUGUGACGAAAUGAUGCCCAUCUCUCUGAAGCAAACCCUGUGGCCUCAGCACAAGUACCAUUUCUCACCUAGUUCUUUUUAUGGCAGUAAAGUUUCAUGGAUAUAGAGGCUGAAAGUCACCAAGGGUAUUUCUAGAGCUGGAAUGAUGGCAGGACAACAAACUUUAUCCUUUAUUCAAACUUUGUACUCAAUGACAUUUCUGAAAGGCCCAUGGCUUGGGACAGUUAUAAAUUAUAACAUGUUACCAAGAUAGGCUUUUAGGAGGUUAAGUACCAAAACAGUAUAACAUGUGUGACUCUAAUCCACUCCCAUGCCACAAAAACAUCCUUCUCUGUAUUUGUUUCAAAAGUAUAUGGAAAUAAAAGAAAGACACAGACUUUGAAAAGUGCUUUUUUAAAAAAAGGCACAGUAUGGAAGACAACUACAUUUUAUAUUUACAGCUGAACAUAAAUGACUACAAAAGGAUUGGCACAGGAUGACUAACUAAAAUCAAACUUACCCACAAUGCAGAUCUCUCUCUCUAGAGAUAGAGAGAGACAAAAUUCUUUAUUUUACUGUAC
rnacentral:lncRNA from 1 species